UCCUUCCCACUUUUCAAAUAUGAAGACAUGUGUGUAUUUUAGGUCAGUUUGUUUUGAAAUGUUUGCAUCAACAACAACACAAAGUGCUUCAUACUGAAUUAACAUCUUUUUGUUAGUAAUACUCUCACAGAUCUUCUCAAAUUGGUUUCAUCUGCAUAAAUUAGAAUAUAGCCUGGUUUAUAGCCACUUAUAAUUAGAUCAUUAAAUAUAUUAACUGUUUCGGGAAUAGUUUUAAGGAGCUCUGUAUAAUUUAUGAUCUGGUUUAGAUUAUUUAUUGAUUGAUUGAUUAAGCAAAAAAAAAAAAAAUAGCAAAUUGAAGUCCUACAUUUUACUGAUUUAAUUAUUUUUAAUUGCUUAUUAAUUUUUUUUUAUUUUUUUUUAACAGAAGCUCCUUUUGACCUGAUUUAACCUCUGACAAUGUUUAAUCUCAGUUAAAACAAACAC